CCUACGGGUGGCAGCAGUGGGGAAUAUUGGACAAUGGGGGCAACCCUGAUCCAGCCAUGCCGCGUGUGUGAAGAAGGCCCUCGGGUUGUAAAGCACUUUCAGUGAGGAAGAACGCCUGGUGGUUAAUACCCAUCAGGAAAGACAUCACUCACAGAAGAAGCACCGGCUAACUCCGUGCCAGCAGCCGCGGUAAUACGGAGGGUGCGAGCGUUAAUCGGAAUUACUGGGCGUAAAGCGCGCGUAGGUGGCUUGAUAAGCCGGUUGUGAAAGCCCCGGGCUCAACCUGGGAACGGCAUCCGGAACUGUCAAGCUAGAGUGCAGGAGAGGAAGGUAGAAUUCCCGGUGUAGCGGUGAAAUGCGUAGAGAUCGGGAGGAAUACCAGUGGCGAAGGCGGCCUUCUGGACUGACACUGAUACUGAGGUGCGAAAGCGUGGGUAGCAAACAGGAUUAGAUACCCUUGUAGUC
rnacentral:rRNA from 1 species